rnacentral:rRNA from 1 species
CCUACGGGAGGCAGCAGUGGGGAAUAUUGGACAAUGGGCGCAAGCCUGAUCCAGCCAUGCCGCGUGUGUGAAGAAGGCCUUCGGGUUGUAAAGCACUUUUGUCCGGAAAGAAAAGCUUCGGGUUAAUACCCCGGGGUUCUGACGGUACCGGAAGAAUAAGCACCGGCUAACUUCGUGCCAGCAGCCGCGGUAAU